CUCAAUGUCACAGCCAUGCUGAUAAUCGGGACUGACUUUGUUAUGGAAGGUGGUGUUGGAGUGAUUCAAUGCCACUUUUCUAUCCAUUACAAACAGAUGUCAGCACCCUGUUCCAAACCACACCACCAGCCCUGAAGAAUACUGAAACUUUGCUGAGGGGUGAGAAGUUUCUUCUUUCUCCUCUCCUCAUUUUCUUGCUUCACUUUCUGAGUUACAGCUGCACUUCCACUGCUAUCAAUACAAGGCCAAGAGUGAGUUUAAUUGUAUUAUAUACACUGCAGCAAGGACAGAGGGCAAGCUCUAGCAAACACAUGGUCACUAUGAGACAACACACUUAUUCCUAGGCAAAAAAUCAGAUGCCUUUGGGAGAGCUUAUUAGACAAGACGAAGAACAGAAAAAAAAAUAAGAAAUCCUUGACUAAUGAGGAGAGUCGAUUGAAUCACAGCCAAAAGGCGUAUUUCCCUAGGCAAUAGUCUGUUUAAAUGAACUCUUAUUGCACUGGAAAUAUUUGCAUUUUAAUCUGUCUAAAAGAGAGACUGGGGAA
ensembl:lncRNA